CUUGUCUCCUAAAUAGAGACCUGUAUGAAAGGCCCAAUGAGAAAGAAACUGUCUCUUGAAGUUAGCCAGUGAAACUGAUCUGCCCGUGCAAAAGCAGGCAUAACAAAACAAGACAAAAAGACCCUGUGAAACUUAAAAUAAACGCCAAUCACAUGUCGAUAUUUUUAGGUUGGGGCAACCAAAGAGAAACAAAACCUCUAAAAUACAUUAGACUAACAAGUCCAACGAAACCAAUAUGACCCAGUAAGACUGAUUAAUGAACCAAGCUACUCCAGGGAUAACAGCGCCAAAUUCUUGAAGAGUCCACAUCAACAAGAAUCCCUACGACCUCGAUGUUGGAUCAGGAUAACCCAACAGCGCAAAAGCUGCUAACGGUUCGUUUGUUCAACGAUUAAUAUCCU
rnacentral:rRNA from 1 species